rnacentral:lncRNA from 1 species
UCUUGAGAUCAUUAGCUUUAUUACAGUGUUGGCACUCUCCAUAUAGAUAUAUAUUUAACUUCUUUCCCCUUUUUGAGUUGAACUGGCUAUCUACUUAGCUAGUAUGGCUUAUCUUUAAUGAAAGGAUUAACUGAAUGUUGGAUUAAACUUUAAUGAUGUUUGUUUUGCUAAAAGUAAGUAAUUGCAGAACUGCUGAUUUUGGGGUUCUUUUCUCUUUUUUGUUUCAAUCACAUCUGGGAAUUCAUACAGCAUCUUAUUGUUGGUGUUAGCACAUAUUCAAGUUAAUAAUUUAGGAAAUGUAGUCCUGUAAUCCAUAAAUCUGUGAGAAUUAUUGAGAUAUUUUCAAUGCAUCUAAUUUCUUCCACAGGGACUGCAUAGACCAUGAAGAAAAUUAGAAUCUCCUUGUCAAAGAUGGGGCUGAGACACAAAACAAGUUGGAAGAAGAGUACAGCCAGGUAGGAUUUGAAUUUUUCUAUUUGAACAUCUUGCUAGAACCACAUGAGUCUAGAGCGUCUUCCUUUAGGAAAAUUCCAUUAAAUUGAAACAAAUUAGGAUUGAAAUGAAGUUUGGUAAAAUAUUUAGCAGAAUUCUGCUUCUCAAUCUCCUCUUCAUUACUUUAAUGAUCAGGAACUAACAAAAGAAACUGGAUUAAUUCCAAGCUGUUGUUCUAAUGUGUGAGCUCCCCAGUUUCAUUAAGGUGCCUGGUAGGUACAUGUGGAAGACUUGGAGUAGGCUCUGAGAAGAGCAGUAUGUGAGUGGAGAGCUACCCAAGGCAGACUGGUGACUAAAUACUGGGAAUACAUUCAGGACUCAAGUAUGCUCUUCUCUCUCCAUUUGUGCUAAAGGCAUCUGUGCCCUGUCUGUCUGAAGUGCCUUAUAGAAAUGGAUUCAAAAUUCACUAUGAAAAAUGAGUGUGAUUGAUUCAAUUGAUGCUUGUAUUACUGGUGGAAUUGGGUCUUAAUAGCAAGGCAUAUUUAUGUGUAUGGCAUAAAUUACCACUGAUUAAAGUAUAUGGUCAUGGAAUAUCCAGAGCUGGAGGGCCCCAUAAGGAUCUUCAAGUCCAGCUCCUGACACUGCACAGAACUGCCCCAGGAGUCCCCUGGGUCUGAGCAUUGUCCAAAUGCUUCUGGAACUCUGGCAGGCUUGGUGUGUAACCACUUCCCUAGGGAACCUCUUCCAGUGCCCAGCCACCCUCUGGGUUAAUGAUGACAUUACAGAGGCAUUGUUAUUUCUAACUGCAGAUUAUCCUACGUACAAUCAAUUUCCUGACUUUUCUGGAUGGAUUCUGUAAGGUUAAGCAUCUGGGACAGAAGCAUUCCCCUUCCUGAAUGCUUUUUUAAGACAGACCAAAAAAGUGUUCUUUCAAUGAGUGAAGAAAUUAUUGCUGUCUUUAAAAA